ACCCGCUGAACUUAAGCAUAUCAAUAAGCGGAGGAAAAGAAACCAACAGGGAUUGCCCUAGUAACGGCGAGUGAAGCGGCAACAGCUCAAAUUUGAAAUCUGGCGUCUUUGGCGUCCGAGUUGUAAUUUGCAGAGGGCGCUUUGGCAUUGGCAGCGGUCCAAGUUCCUUGGAACAGGACGUCACAGAGGGUGAGAAUCCCGUACGUGGUCGCUGGCUAUUGCCGUGUAAAGCCCCUUCGACGAGUCGAGUUGUUUGGGAAUGCAGCUCUAAAUGGGAGGUACAUUUCUUCUAAAGCUAAAUAUUGGCCAGAGACCGAUAGCGCACAAGUAGAGUGAUCGAAAGAUGAAAAGCACUUUGGAAAGAGAGUCAAACAGCACGUGAAAUUGUUGAAAGGGAAGCGCUUGCAGCCAGACUUGCUUACAGUUGCUCAUCCGGGUUUCUACCCGGUGCACUCUUCUGUAGGCAGGCCAGCAUCAGUUUGGGCGGUAGGAUAAAGGUCUCUGUCACGUACCUCCUUUCGGGGAGGCCUUAUAGGGGAGACGACAUACUACCAGCCUGGACUGAGGUCCGCGCAUCUGCUAGGAUGCUGGCGUAAUGGCUGU
rnacentral:rRNA from 1 species